rnacentral:rRNA from 1 species
GAUGAACGCUGGCGGCGUGCCUAAUACAUGCAAGUCGAGCGAACAGAUGAGGGGUUUGUUCCUCUGACGAUAGCGGCGGACGGGCGAGUAACACGUGGAUAACCUACCUAUACGACUGGAAUAACUUCGGGAAACAGGAUCUAACACCGGAUAAUAGAUUGAACCGCACGGUUUAAUAGUGAAAGACGAUUUUGCUGUCACAUAUAGAUGGAUCCGCGCCGCAUUAGCUAGUUGGGAAGGUAACGGCUUACCAAGGCAACGAUGCGUAGCCGACCUGAGAGGGUAGGCAGCCCCCCUGGAACGGAAACACGGUCCAGACCCCUACGGGAGGCAACGGUGGGGAAUGUUCCGUAAGGGGCGGAACCCUAGCGUGACACCGCCGCGUAGGUGAUAAAGUUCUUGGGAUCUUAAUACUCUGUUGUUUGGGAGAAACAAAUGUGUAAGUAACUUUUCACGUCUUGACGGUACCUAAUCAGAAAGGCACGGCUAACUACGUG